rnacentral:rRNA from 1 species
GAUGAACGCUGGCGGCGCGCCUAACACAUGCAAGUCGAACGAUUAAAGCACCUUCGGGUGUGUAUAAAGUGGCGAACGGCUGAGUAACACGUGGGCAACCUGCCCCUCUCAUUGGGAUAGCCACGGGAAACCGUGGAUAAUACCGAAUACUUCGGGACUUCCGCAUGGAAGACUCGAGAAAGCUCCGGCGGAGAGGGAUGGGCCCGCGGCCUGUUAGCUUGUUGGUGGGGUAAUGGCCUACCAAGGCAAUGAUGGGUAGCUGGGUUGAGAGACCGACCAGCAAGAUGGGGACGGAGACCCGCCCCAGCCCCCGAGGGGGGGCAGGGGGGGGAAUUCGUGAAAAAGGGGCGAAGGCUUGAUGCAGCGACGCGGGGGGGGGGAUGAAGCCUUUGGGUUUGAAACCCUUUUCCGGCGGGGAGGGGGCAAAAGGGAGGGUCCCGGCAGAAGAAGCCCCGGUUAACUACGU